GGGUUGUGAGGUUAAGCGACUAAGCGUACACGGUGGAUGCCCUGGCAGUCAGAGGCGAUGAAGGGCGUGCUAAUCUGCGAUAAGCGCCGGUAAGGUGAUAUGAACCGUUAUAACCGGCGAUACCCGAAUGGGGAAACCCAGUGUGAUUCGUCACACUAUCAUUAACUGAAUCCAUAGGUUAAUGAGGCGAACCGGGGGAACUGAAACAUCUAAGUACCCCGAGGAAAAGAAAUCAACCGAGAUUCCCCCAGUAGCGGCGAGCGAACGGGGAGGAGCCCAGAGCCUGAAUCAGCAUGUGUGUUAGUGGAAGCGUCUGGAAAGGCGCGCGAUACAGGGUGACAGCCCCGUACACAAAAGCGUAUGUGCUGUGAGCUCGAUGAGUAGGGCGGGACACGUGGUAUCCUGUCUGAAUAUGGGGGGACCAUCCUCCAAGGCUAAAUACUCCUGACUGACCGAUAGUGAACCAGUACCGUGAGGGAAAGGCGAAAAGAACCCCGGCGAGGGGAGUGAAAAAGAACCUGAAACCGUGUACGUACAAGCAGUGGGAGCACCCUUUGGGGUGUGACUGCGUACCUUUUGUAUAAUGGGUCAGCGACUUAUAUUCUGUAGCAAGGUUAACCGAAUAGGGGAGCCGGAGGGAAACCGAGUCUUAAUUGGGCGUUAAGUUGCAGGGUAUAGACCCGAAACCCGGUGAUCUAGCCAUGGGCAGGUUGAAGGUUGGGUAACACUAACUGGAGGACCGAACCGACUAAUGUUGAAAAAUUAGCGGAUGACCUGUGGCUGGGGGUGAAAGGCCAAUCAAACCGGGAGAUAGCUGGUUCUCCCCGAAAGCUAUUUAGGUAGCGCCUCGUGAAUUCAUCUCCGGGGGUAGAGCACUGUUUCGGCUAGGGGGUCAUCCCGACUUACCAACCCGAUGCAAACUGCGAAUACCGGAGAAUGUUAUCACGGGAGACACACGGCGGGUGCUAACGUCCGUCGUGAAGAGGGAAACAACCCAGACCGCCAGCUAAGGUCCCAAAGUCAUGGUUAAGUGGGAAACGAUGUGGGAAGGCCCAGACAGCCAGGAUGUUGGCUUAGAAGCAGCCAUCAUUUAAAGAAAGCGUAAUAGCUCACUGGUCGAGUCGGCCUGCGCGGAAGAUGUAACGGGGCUAAACCAUGCACCGAAGCUGCGGCAGCGAC
rnacentral:rRNA from 2 species